UAUCCAGGGCAGGGUGGAGUUUACGUGCACGCGGCAGGCAGUUGUGCGACCAUUUUACGUAAAGCGCCAAAUAAUCGGGUGAUGGUUACAAUGCUCAGCAAAAAGGAAUUCAGUUUCCCAGAAGUAAAUAUGUGCACAGUGGGUAGGCUCAGCAAUGUGGCUCAUGCUGAUACCCCGAUAGGGUCGGCUCAAAAAAA
rnacentral:lncRNA from 1 species